UACGAAGGGGGCUAGCGUUGUUCGGAAUCACUGGGCGUAAAGGGCGCGUAGGCGGCCGAUCAAGUCGGGGGUGAAAGCCUGUGGCUCAACCACAGAAUUGCCUUCGAUACUGUUUGGCUUGAGACCGGAAGAGGUUAGUGGAACUGCGAGUGUAGAGGUGAAAUUCGUAGAUAUUCGCAAGAACACCAGUGGCGAAGGCGGCUGACUGGUCCGGUUCUGACGCUGAGG
rnacentral:rRNA from 1 species